AUUGAACGCUGGCGGCAGGCUUAACACAUGCAAGUCGAGCGGGGGAAGGUAGCUUGCUACCGGACCUAGCGGCGGACGGGUGAGUAAUGCUUAGGAAUCUGCCUAUUAGUGGGGGACAACAUCUCGAAAGGGAUGCUAAUACCGCAUACGUCCUACGGGAGAAAGCAGGGGAUCUUCGGACCGUGCGCUAAUAGAUGAGCCUAAGUCGGAUUAGCUAGUUGGUGGGGUAAAAGCCUACCAAGGCGAAGAUCUGUAGCGGGUCUGAGUGGAUGAUCCGCCACACUGGGACUGAGACACGGCCCAGACUCCUACGGGAGGCAGCAGUGGGGAAUAUUGGACAAUGGGGGGAACCCUGAUCCAGCCAUGCCGCGUGUGUGAAGAAGGCCUUAUGGUUGUAAAGCACUUUAAGCGAGGAGGAGGCUACUCUAGUUAAUACCUAGGGAUAGUGGACGUUACUCGCAGAAUAAGCACCGGCUAACUCUGUGCCAGCCGCCGCAGUAA
rnacentral:rRNA from 1 species